AUGUCCAUCAGGGUGACCCAGAAGUCCUACAAGGUGUCCACCUCUGGGCCCCGGGCCUUCAGCAGCCACUCCUACACAAGUGGGCCCAGUGUCCAGAUAAGCUCCUCAGGCUUCUCCCUAGUGGGCAGCAGCAGCUUCCAAGGUUGUCUGGGCGGAGGCUAUGGUGAGGGCAGCAGCGUGGGUGGCAUCACCACCAUCACAGUCAACCAGAGCCUGCUGAGCCCCCUUAACCUGGAGGUGGACCCCAACAUCCAGGCUGUGCGCACCCAGGAGAAGCAGCAGAUCAAGACCCUCAACAACAAGUUUGCCUCCUUCAUAGACAAGGUAUGGUUCCUGGAGCAGUAGAACAAGAUGCUGGAGACUAAGUGGAGCCUCCUGCAGCAGCAGAAGAUGGCUCAGAGCAACAUGGACAACAUGUUCCAGAGCUACAUCAACAACCUUAGGCAGCAGCUGAAGACUCUGGGCCAGGAGAAGCUGAAGCUGGAGGCGGAGCUUGGCAACAUGCCCGGGCUGGUGGAGGACUUCAAGAACAAGUAUGAGGAUGAGAUCAAUAAGUGUACAGAGGUGGAGAAUGAAUUUGUCCUCAUCAAGAGGAUGUGGAUGAAGGUUACAUGAACAAGGUAGAGCUGGAGUCUCACCUGGAAGGGCUGACUGACGAGAUCAAUUUCCUCAAGCAGCUGUAUGAAGAGGAGAUCCAGGAGCUGCAGUCCCAGAUCUCGGACACAUCUGUGGUGCUGCCCAUGGACAACAGCCGCUCCCUGGGCAUGAACAGCAUCAUCGCUGAGGUCAAGGCACCAUACGAGGAGAUCGCCAACUGCAGCCAGGCCAAGGCUGAGAGCAUGUACCAGAUCAAGGAUGAGGAGCUGCAGAUGCUGGCUGGGAAGCACGAGGAUGACCUGCAGUGUACAAAGACUGAGAUUUCUGAGAUGAACCGGAACAUCAGCCAGCUCCAGGCUGAGACUGAGGGCCUCAAAGGCCAGAGGGCUUCCCUGGAGGGCACCAUCACAGAUGUCUGCAGCACAGGGGGCUGGCUGUUAAGGAUGCCAACGCCAAGCUGUCCAAGCUGGAGGCCGCCCUGCAGCAGGCCAAGCAGGACAUGGCAUGGCAACUGCUUGAGUACCAGGAACUGAUGAACAUCAAGCUGGCCCUGGACAUCGAGAUAGCCACCUACAGGAAGCUGCUGGAGGGCGAGGAGAGCCAGCUGGACUCUGGGAUGCAGAACAUGAGUAUCCAUACAAAGACCACCAGUGGUUAUGCAGGUGAUCUGAGCUCGGCCUGUGGGGGCCUCCCAAGCCCCAGCUUUGGCUCUGGUGUGGGCUCCAGCUCCUUCAGCCGCACCAGCACCACCAGGGCAGUGGUUGUGAAGAAGAUCGAGACCCAUGAUGGGAGGCUGGUGUCCUAGUCCUCUGACGUCCUGCCCAAGUGA
rnacentral:lncRNA from 1 species